rnacentral:rRNA from 1 species
UACGAAGGGGGCUAGCGUUGCUCGGAAUUACUGGGCGUAAAGGGCGCGUAGGCGGACAGUUAAGUCAGAGGUGAAAGCCCAGGGCUCAACCCUGGAAUUGCCUUUGAAACUGUACGCUUGAGGCCGGGAGGGGGUAGCGGAAUUCCCAGUGUAGCGGUGAAAUGCGUAGAUACUGGGAGGAACACCAGUGGCGAAGGCGGCUACCUGGACCGGUUCUGACGCUGAGGCGCGAAAGCGUGGGGAGCAAACGGG